GGGUCCAUAGCUCAGUGGUAGAGCA
rnacentral:siRNA from 1 species